UGCAGCCGCAUGUCCGACGCCAUGAGAGGGUGCUCCGCGGGGUUCUUCUCCAGCGACAACGCUACAGAGUUCGGCUGUCAACAAGGUCGUCAUCUUGGUCCAGGCCUAGAGCUGGCAGAGAACAAGCACGGAUCGGCUACCUGGAGUCCACUUCCAAGAAAUUUUGUCGGCCACAUUUGAAAGCUGGAUAUUUCUGAGAAGGAACUAAAGGUCAAUGAGCUGACGCAGUUGGGUGGCAUUGCAGAUAUGUUGCAGCCUUGUGAGUCUGAGACUCUAAGUAUAGACAUACAUACACAUACAAGAGCAAAUGCAUGCAUCGAGUCUUCCUCUAGAGAAGGAAAUGAGGUAAGCAAAUAGAAUGUAUCUGGAAUGGCCUCAUGUGGAUCAUCUUCAUCUGCUGGGUGUUGCCAUAGAGUUACAUAGGCUUGGGUCCGUUUAUUCUUUCCUUACUACACAUCUACUCUCUAGACUUACCAUACAGUUCAUAUAA